AUGGAGUUUGAGUCCUCUGAUGAGGACUACUCCUAUGAUGAAGAUGAAGAUGGCCAGUUUGUUAGGAGGAAGAGCCAGUUUGUUAGGUUUAACCCUGAUUCAGAAAUUCCACAUUUUAGUUUGGGAAUGGUUUUCAAAAGCAAGAACCAAUUGGUGAAAGCACUGAAGAGGUAUGGGCUUGCAACCAAAAGGAGCAUAUCUUUCCCAAAAUCUGAAGAGCAAAGGGUAAGAGCUAAAUGUGACUGGCCUGGUUGCCCCUGGAUGUUGUAUGCUGCAAAGACAAGUAGAUGUUCUAGGUUUCAGAUCAUCACUUAUGAAGAUGAGCACAACUGUGCACAAAACAGGGAGAACAGACUUGUUACUGCAAAAGUGAUUGCUAAGAGAUAUGAGCACAUUAUCCUAGCAAAUCCACUAUGGAAAAUUGACAGCAUUAAAGCCACAGUGCUCAAAGACAUGUUUGCUGAUGUGUCAGUUUCAUAA
rnacentral:rRNA from 1 species